rnacentral:rRNA from 1 species
AACGAACGCUGGCGGCAGGCCUAGCACAUGCAAGUCGAGCGGACCUUUCGGGGUCAGCGGCGGACGGGUGAGUAACGCGUGGGAAUAUGCCCUUCUCUACGGAAUAGUCCUGGGAAACUGGGGGUAAUACCGUAUACGCCCUUUGGGGGAAAGAUUUAUCGGGGAAGGAUUAGCCCGCGUUGGAUUAGGUAGUUGGUGGGGUAAUGGCCUACCAAGCCGACGAUCCAUAGCUGGUUUGAGAGGAUGAUCAGCCACACUGGGACUGAGACACGGCCCAGACUCCUACGGGAGGCAGCAGUGGGGAAUCUUAGACAAUGGGGGCAACCCUGAUCUAGCCAUGCCGCGUGAGUGAUGAAGGCCUUAGGGUUGUAAAGCUCUUUCAGCUGGGAAGAUAAUGACGGUACCAGCAGAAGAAGCCCCGGCUAACUCCGUG